GGAUGUGAGGGUGAUCUGGCUGCGACAUCUGUCACCCCAUUGAUCGCCAGGGUUGAUUCAGCUGAUCUGGCUGGCUAGGCGGGUGUCCCUUCCUCCCUCACCGCUCCAUGUGCGUCCCUCCCGAAGCUGUGCGCUCGGUCGAAGAGGACGACCUUCCCCGAUAGAGGAGAGGACCGUUCUUCGGUCAAGGGUAUACGAGUAGCUGCGCUCCCCUGCUAGAACCUCCAAACAAGCUCUCAUAUUUACUUCACUUUUUUUUAAUCAUGAAAGGGUGUUGAAUUGUCAAAUGAUUUUUCUGCAUCAAUUGAGAUGAUCAUGUGGUUUUUUCCCCUUCAUU
rnacentral:snRNA from 1 species